GAUGAAGAACGUAGCGAAAUGCGAUAAGUAAUGUGAAUUGCAGAAUUCAGUGAAUCAUCGAAUCUUUGAACGCACCUUGCGCCCUUUGGACUUCUGAAGGGCAUGCCUGUUUGAGUAUCAUGAACACCUCAACUCCUUAUGGUCUUCCAUGAUGAGCUUGGACUUUGGGGGUUUUGCUGGCCUACAGUCAGCUCCUCUAAAAUAAAUCAGCUUACCGGUGUUUGGUGGGUAUCAUGGGUGUGAUAACUAUCUACGCUCGUGGUUUUCCACCAGGUAACCUUCAGCAGUGGAGGUUCACUGGAGCUCAUAGAUGUCUCUCCUCAGCGAGGACAGCCCUUUGAAUGUUUGAUCUCAAAUCAGGUAGGACUACCCGCUGAACUUAAGCAUAUCAAUAAGCGGAAGGA
rnacentral:misc_RNA from 1 species